rnacentral:rRNA from 1 species
AGAGUUUGAUCCUGGCUCAGAGUGAACGCUGGCGGCGUGCCUAAUACAUGCAAGUCGAACGAUGAAGCUUCUAGCUUGCUAGAAGUGGAUUAGUGGCGCACGGGUGAGUAACGCAUAGGUCAUGUGCCUCUUAGUUUGGGAUAGCCAUUGGAAACGAUGAUUAAUACCAGAUACUCCCUACGGGGGAAAGAUUUAUCGCUAAGAGAUCAGCCUAUGUCCUAUCAGCUUGUUGGUAAGGUAAUGGCUUACCAAGGCUAUGACGGGUAUCCGGUCUGAGAGGGUGAACGGACACACUGGAACUGAGACACGGUCCAGACUCCUACGGGAGGCAGCAGUAGGGAAUAUUGCUCAAUGGGGGAAACCCUGAAGCAGCAACGCCGCGUGGAGGAUGAAGGUUUUAGGAUUGUAAACUCCUUUUGUUAGAGAAGAUAAUGACGGUAUCUAACGAAUAAGCACCGGCUAACUCCGUGCCAGCAGCCGCGGUAAUACGGAGGGUGCAAGCGUUACUCGGAAUCACUGGGCGUAAAGAGCGCGUAGGCGGGAUAGUCAGUCAGGUGUGAAAUCCUAUGGCUUAACCAUAGAACUGCAUUUGAAACUACUAUUCUAGAGUGUGGGAGAGGUAGGUGGAAUUCUUGGUGUAGGGGUAAAAUCCGUAGAGAUCAAGAGGAAUACUCAUUGCGAAGGCGACCUGCUGGAACAUUACUGACGCUGAUUGCGCGAAAGCGUGGGGAGCAAACAGGAUUAGAUACCCUGGUAGUCCACGCCCUAAACGAUGGAUGCUAGUUGUUGGAGGGCUUAGUCUCUCCAGUAAUGCAGCUAACGCAUUAAGCAUCCCGCCUGGGGAGUACGGUCGCAAGAUUAAAACUCAAAGGAAUAGACGGGGACCCGCACAAGCGGUGGAGCAUGUGGUUUAAUUCGAAGAUACACGAAGAACCUUACCUAGGCUUGACAUUGAGAGAAUCCGCUAGAAAUAGUGGAGUGUCUAGCUUGCUAGACCUUGAAAACAGGUGCUGCACGGCUGUCGUCAGCUCGUGUCGUGAGAUGUUGGGUUAAGUCCCGCAACGAGCGCAACCCCCUUUCUUAGUUGCUAACAGGUCAUGCUGAGAACUCUAAGGAUACUGCCUCCGUAAGGAGGAGGAAGGUGGGGACGACGUCAAGUCAUCAUGGCCCUUACGCCUAGGGCUACACACGUGCUACAAUGGGGUGCACAAAGAGAAGCAAUACUGCGAAGUGGAGCCAAUCUUCAAAACGCCUCUCAGUUCGGAUUGUAGGCUGCAACUCGCCUGCAUGAAGCUGGAAUCGCUAGUAAUCGCAAAUCAGCCAUGUUGCGGUGAAUACGUUCCCGGGUCUUGUACUCACCGCCCGUCACACCAUGGGAGUUGUGUUUGCCUUAAGUCAGGAUGCUAAAUUGGCUACUGCCCACGGCACACACAGCGACUGGGGUGAAGUCGUAACAAGGUAACCGUAGGUGAACCUGCGGUUGGAUCACCU